GUAUGGUUAAGUGACUAAGCGUACAGGGCGGAUGCCUUGGCAAUCAGAGGCGAUGAAGGACGUGCUAAUCUGCGACAAGCUUGGAUGAGUCGAUAAGAGGCGUUUAAUCCAAGAUAUCCGAAUGGGGAAACCCAGUAGAUGAAGAAUCUACUAUCAAUAAAUGAAUACAUAGUUUAUUGAGGCGAACCGGGAGAACUGAAACAUCUAAGUACCCCGAGGAAAAGAAAUCAACCGAGAUUCUGUGAGUAGCGGCGAGCGAAAGCGGGAGAGCCAGUAAGUUUUAGCUAGCGUAUUAGAGGAAUUGGCUGGGAAGCCAAAUCAAAGAGGGUGAUAAUCCCGUACUCGAAAGUAUGUUAGUGGAACUAAGCUUACGAUAAGUAAGGCGGGACACGAGAAAUCCUGUUUGAAGAUGGGGGGACCAUCCUCCAAGGCUAAAUACUCCUGAUUGACCGAUAGUGAACCAGUACUGUGAAGGAAAGGCGAAAAGAACCCCGGUGAGGGGAGUGAAAUAGAACCUGAAACCCUGUACGUACAAGCAGUAGGAGCGAGGGCAACCUUGUGACUGCGUACCUUUUGUAUAAUGGGUCAGCGACUUAUAUUUUGUAGCGAGGUUAACUGAAUAAGGGAGCCGAAGGGAAACCGAGUCUUAACUGGGCGUUGAGUUGCAAGGUAUAGACCCGAAACCCGGUGAUCUAGCCAUGGGCAGGUUGAAGGUUGGGUAACACUAACUGGAGGACCGAACCGACUAAUGUUGAAAAAUUAGCGGAUGACUUGUGGCUGGGGGUGAAAGGCCAAUCAAACCGGGAGAUAGCUGGUUCUCCCCGAAAUCUAUUUAGGUAGAGCCUUGAGCGGACACCUUCGGGGGUAGAGCACUGUUUCGGCUAGGGGUCCAUCCCGGAUUACCAACCCGAUGCAAACUGCGAAUACCGAAGAGUGAUACUCAGGAGACACACGGCGGGUGCUAACGUUCGUCGUGGAGAGGGAAACAACCCAGACCGCCAGCUAAGGUCCCGAAGUCUAUAUUAAGUGGGAAACGAAGUGGGAAGGCUUAGACAGCUAGGAUGUUGGCUUAGAAGCAGCCAUCAUUUAAAGAAAGCGUAAUAGCUCACUAGUCGAGUCGGCCUGCGCGGAAGAUGUAACGGGGCUCAAAUAUAGCACCGAAGCUGCGGCAUCAGAAUUUAUUCUGUUGGGUAGGGGAGCGUUGUGUAAGCGGAUGAAGGUGGCUCGAGAGGGUUGCUGGACGUAUCACAAGUGCGAAUGCUGACAUAAGUAACGAUAAAACGAGUGAAAAACUCGUUCGCCGGAAGACCAAGGGUUCCUGUCCAACGUUAAUCGGGGCAGGGUGAGUCGGCCCCUAAGGCGAGGCUGAAAAGCGUAGUCGAUGGGAAAACGGGUUAAUAUUCCCGUACUUGGAUAAAGCUGCGAUGUGGGGACGG
rnacentral:rRNA from 1 species